rnacentral:rRNA from 1 species
GAACUUAAGCAUAUCAAUAAGCGCAGGAAAAGAAACCAACAGGGAUUGCCUCAGUAACGGCGAGUGAAGCGGCAACAGCCCAAAUUUGAAAUCUGGCCUCUCGGGGUCCGAGUUGUAAUUUGUAGAGGAUGUUUUGGGUACCGCCCCGGUCUAAAUUUCUUGGAACAGAAUGUCAAAGAGGGUGAGAAUCCCGUCUUGGACCGGCGGUAGGGCCUGUGUAAAACUCCUUCGACGAGUCGAGUUGUUUGGGAAUGCAGCUCAAAAUGGGUGGUAAAUUUCAUCUAAAGCUAAAUAUUGGCCAGAGACCGAUAGCGCACAAGUAGAGUGAUCGAAAGAUGAAAAGCACUUUGAAAAGAGAGUUAAACAGUAUGUGAAAUUGUUGAAAGGGAAGCGCUUGCAACCAGACUUGAGCGCGGCGGUUCCCCUGGCCUUUUGGCCAGGUUACUCCGUCGUGUCCAGGCCAACAUCGGUUUCGAGGGUCGGUCAAAGGCUCCGGGAAUGUAUCUACCCACGGGUAGACUUAUAGACCGGGGUGUCAUGCGACCUCUCGGGACCGAGGAACGCGCUUCGGCUCGGAUGUUGGCGUAAUGGUUGUCAGCGACCCGUCUUGAAACACGGACCAAGGAGUCUAACAUCUAUGCGAGUGUUUGGGUGUCAAACCCGGAACGCGAAAUGAAAGUGAACGGAGGUAGGAAGCUUCGGCUGCACUAUCGACCGAUCCUGAAGUUUACGGAAGGAUUUGAGUAAGAGCAUAGCUGUUGGGACCCGAAA